CUUCCCUAGAUGAUAGCAGAAGAUGUUUUCACUUCUUGAAAAUGCAAAAUAUGCCUUCUGAAAUCUGAGGUUUCCUGUUAAAAUAGGGCAUUAAUUAGGAGAACUUGCUUGCCUCAGAACUGGGUUGGAAUUAUGGUUUCACAUUAGCUGCCAGCCUCAGGAGAAGAACAUUUAGUGGUCUUGAGUUUGAAUUGGUGUAUAAAAUUGGACAACAAACUGUUUACAGAUGCAAUAAACUAAAUGAUUGUGUUUGGGUUUGCUACAUCCAAAGCAACAUUUGUUAUAAGCUUGUAAACACUACCGUGG
rnacentral:lncRNA from 1 species